GCAAUGUGCAUUUCACAAGCCUACUCCUGCACCUUCAGGAACAAGGACUUCCAGGAAGUGACACUGGAGAGGGAAGGCCAGGUGCUGUUGCGCUUUGCUGUGGCCUAUGGCUUCCGCAACAUCCAGAACCUCGUGCAGAAGUUAAAACGAGGCCGCUGUCCCUACCAUUACGUGGAAGUAAUGGCCUGCCCUUCAGGUAGUUCCUCCUAGCGUGGGCUCUGCCUGCUGGGAUAGAGUAGCAGCUUUCCACCAGUGGAAGCUGGAAGGGGUUGGACAGGAGGGGGGCAUGUCCCCCUCGCCACAUCCAGGGGGUCAGAGGGCUAACCUGACUCCCUGUCCCUGCCCCAUGCUCUACCACAGGCUGCUUGAAUGGAGGGGGUCAGCUCAAGGCUCCAGAUACGGAAGGCAGGGAGCUCCUCCAGCAAGUGGAAAGACUGUACAGCAUGGUGAGGACCGAGGCGCCCGAAGAUGCCCCUGGGGUCCAGGAGCUGUACCAGCAUUGGCUGCAAGGCGAGGACUCAGAGCGGGCCAGCCACCUGCUGCACACGCAGUACCAUGCUGUGGAGAAGAUCAACUCAGGCCUCAGCAUCAGGUGGUAGGAGGCCCUGAGUCUGUGAGAGCCCUGGGGGCAGCACCAAGGCUCCCAGGAAGACUGUGUGGGUAUCCGCCACAAGGCCCACGCAGAACAUGCCAGAGGUCCUCAGUUCAAGGAGAGCUCCAUGGACGGUUGGAUUCUUUGCUCCAGUGGGGCACUAGCUGCACAUGGGUCCUUGACCAUACAUGAUCUGUGUCUCUGGCUGGUAAUGUUGCCUGCAGCCCACACACCUCCAGGGUCCACACUGAGAUAUGCAAGGUGAAGUGCAGGCAGGAUCAGAGAUACCCAAGUAGGUUCAAUGAGACUCCAGACUCUUCCUCUGGCCUGCCUUCCGGCUGUAGGUGUCUGAGUAUAAGGGGUUUCAUUUCUGUGGCUCACCCCCAAAACUACAACGUGUAGGGCAGAUAUCAAGCCUGAACCUAGUGGGGCACACAAUCUUCUACAAACUGCCUGUUUGCUAGGGUCUUGGGCUCUGGCAGUCUGUCAGCUCCCAGCCUCUAUGGCUUUGAGAACGUCAGAGCUGGGUCUCACCACUAAUAAACAGGUCUGCACCUCUGAGUA
rnacentral:lncRNA from 1 species